CCUUUAGGAUUCCUAAGUAUGGUUUUGAAGACUAUGACAUGUGCUGGUCAGAUUUCACUUAUUGAUGGCAUACAGCUUGGGAUUCUCCUUAGCAUUCCUCUGGAUUUGAUAUAAAUAUAAAACAAUAAUUAACAGCUCUGUUAUCUAUAAAGCCAAGUUUCUGCCAUAGAUCUAACGCAUUGCAUGACUUCAUGUAAAUGAUCU